CAGUAGCCGCGGUAAUACGUAGGGGGCAAGCGUUAUCCGGAAUUACUGGGUGUAAAGGGAGCGUAGACGGUUAAACAAGUCUGAAGUGAAAUGCCGGGGCUCAACCCCGGAGCUGCUUUGGGGACUGUAGAACUGGAGUGUCGGAGGGGUAAGCGGAAUUCCCAGUGUAGCGGUGAAAUGCGUAGAUAUUGGGAGGAACACCGGUGGCGAAAGCGGCUCUCUGGCUUGUAACUGACGCUGAGGCUCGAAAGCGUGGGGCACAAACAGGAUUAGAUACCCGAGUAGUCCUUGUCUCUUAUAC
rnacentral:rRNA from 1 species